rnacentral:lncRNA from 1 species
AUUUCCAAUGGUACAUGACUUAUUAAAAAUCAUCAUUCCCAUAGAUUUUAGUCAUCUUCACACUUAAGCACAUACUUAAUCAUAGUCACCACGUACUAGUUCACAAUUAACCAUUUAAAAACAUGAUUUUGAAUGUAGUAACAUGCCUUAGAGAAAUUGCUCAAGUCCUUACUAGAUAUGCACUCAAUUUUCACACAGAUUUUCGAACUCCACACCCUAUACUAGUUAUAUGUGAGAAGAUUGAUGUAAAUAUGAAAACGAACGCUCACAUAUAUGUAUAACAAAGAAAGCAUUUUCGGGAGUUAAUAAGCAUGUUUAAAUAUGAUCUCAUGAAUGGAAUGCUACUACUUCGAUGCGAGAACCAGCGACACCAUAUGCUCAUACCAAUGUUAAACUCCACAAAUUGAAACACAUAACACUCAAGAUUAAAGUAAAGGGUUGUAACGGGGCUUGGGGUAUUGGCUAACAAAGAAGGGUAAAGGAUAAACAAACGUUCUUAAAACAAUAGUAAGCAAAGCAAUGAAAUUGACACUUAGAAUUCACUUUAGAGUGCAGAAAACAACUUUAAACACAAAGGGGAAUACGCAUGCAUAUUUAGGGUCAAAUGCAACUUUUUGGACCCUUUCUUCAACAAUCAACACUUUUAGAACUCUUUUUCACAUCUUUUCAACUCUUUUUUCAUACUUUUCACAUUUUUUCUUUUUCUUUUUCUUUUUCCACGAAUUUCAUUUUUUUUUCUUUUUCAUGCCUCAUUCAAGACUUUGGCACACCCACAACAAAACUCACUUCCCCCACACUUAUUUUCUGCCAAUAAUGACCAAAAGGAAUUCAUUUUGAGUCAUUUAUUACUAUGCUUCAAGAACAAAGGUAUGGAUGGUCCUAAUCUAGGCUAGGUUAGGAUAAUGUGGGUUAACAAACAACAUAGGCUAAACAAGGCUCAACGGGGUUAAACCUACAAAAACAAAUGCAUGGAAUGAAGGCUUUUUGGCUAUGGUGGUACUACUAAACAACUUCAUCUUGAAUAUGUGUUAUGCAAUUCAAUAACAUGUUUUGAAUGACAUUGGCAUGAGUUCUAGUGUUUGGAACUAAAUGAUGAAACGCCUUCUAAGUAGUAACCAAGCAAAGAAUAAUGAGAUCAUGCAACGACUUUAGAAAACAAGAAUGCACAAAUUUUAACUCUCCAAAUAAACAUUUAGGCUCAAGUCUCACAAGGUUGUAGCGUUUGUUUGAGUUCCUUCCUUCAAGCAUGUUACAAAAACUGAUUUUUUUCUUUAUGAUUACAUGUGAAGUCAUAAGUUAUAACCACAACCAAGCAUAAACCAAAGAGUAAAUCAAAUUUUCAUCCAUGUUUAUAACUCUCUUUAACAAUCAUGCAAUUACAAACCGAAUCCUCAUCAUUGUGUUGGAAGGUACCCUAAGACACAAACAAACACACAAAAACAACUUUAAACCGACUCUUUUUGGGUUUUUUCAAAACUUUUUCUAUUUUUUUUCUUGAAUUUUCGGAUUUUUUUGGUAAAGCCACAUAAAAACACAUCAGAACUUUCUAAAAACACUUAAAAACAAUGAAAAACAACCUUUGAAAUGUUAGGUGGUAAAAUCCUACGAAUUUGACACAAAAACACUUUGUUUACCCCCCCACACUUAAACCAAACAUUGUCCUCAAUGUUUCAAACAUAGACUCACACAAGAACAAGCAAAUAUCACAACUAGCAAACAUGACAAAUAUGGCAAAGUAAAAGCAAUAUAGAGUAGGGUUUAGAAACGCAAAUCUGAUUAUGAUGCCGGAGCUUCCUAGGUCCUCUUUAGUUGCAUGGGUUGCCUCCCAAGAAGCGCUUGCUUUAACGUCUUCCAGCCGGACGAUGCUCCAUUGAAGGUUUAUGGAACCCCACAGCAUGGAGGGGUGUUUCCACAACCUGACCUACGAAAUACUUCAUUCUUUGGGUCCUUGAAUGGGAUGGGAUAAUGAUCCUUUCUAUUUGUCAUGUUUUGCUUCUCUAAAUCAAGUAUAAAGUGCAACUCAUUUUGUCAAACAAUAUUGAGUGCCCAUCUCGUAAAAGCUUAGAGAUAGAAAUCAAAUUCUUUAUACAUGAAGGAAAAUAUAAACAAUUUUUAAGUUCCAAGACUUCCCCAGAGGGCAGUUUAAGCAUGUAGGUGCCUAUUGCUUUAGCAGAGAUCUUAGUGCCGUUCCCAACUCGCACAAUCAUCUCCCCAUUGCGCAAUGUUCUGCUCCCUGUUAGUCCCUGCAACUAAUUGCAGAUAUGUUGACUAGCGCCUGAAUCAAAUAUCCAGGAAUUAGAGCUCAUUGUAAAAGCACUCUCUAUGACAGAAAUAGUCCCUUCAAAAGUUCGUGUCAUAAGGCUUGCAAUGCGCACCCUGUAUUUCUUCUUCUAACGUUCAUCCUUUCCACAAUGAAAGCAUGUUCCUUUGGAUUUUAUUGCCUUCUUCUUAUGUAACCUUUUCCUUGUGAUUGCAGUCUCACUCCCACUGUCCUUUUUGAAACCCUUGUUCAAACUUACAGCACAUGUCAAUCAUCUCGGUAAAAGUAUGAUUGAAUCUAUUCACUUUAUAGUUUACAAUAAACUUAGUGAAAUCAUCCGAGAGAGAUGCAAGGAAAAAGUCUUGGGCCAUUUUCCCAUCGAUGGAAGUUCCUAAACUUUCAAGAUCUUGAAAGAUCCUUUCCAUCUUUUGUCCAUGUUUUUGGACCGAUGUCCCCUUUGCGAAUCGUACAUUACUAGUCUCAAUGUCAUGCAUCUUAUGCAAACUUUCAACCAUGGCACAAGAAGUGUCCAUGUGCUUAUGUAGCUUCACAAGCUCCUCACUAAGUGAAGUGAGGAUUAAGCAUUUGGCUUGUAAGUCAUCCUCAUAGUGUCUAUCAUAAUUUUAACACUCCUCCUUUGAAGCUAGUUUCGUAGGAAGUACAUGAGGAGGGGAUUGCUUAAGCACAUACAAUAUGUCUUUCACCU